GAAGACCAAGGGUUCCUGUCCAACGUUAAUCGGGGCAGGGUAAGUCGACCCCUAAGGCGAGGCCGAAAGGCGUAGUCGAUGGGAAACGGGUUAAUAUUCCCGUACUUCUUACAAUUGCGAUGGGGGGGACGGAGAAGGCUAGGUGGGCCUGGCGACGGUUGUCCAGGUUCAAGUGCGUAGGCUUAAGAGUUAGGUAAAUCCGGCUCUUUUUAAGGCUGAGACACGACGUCGAGCAUCUACGGAUGUGAAGUCAUUGAUGCCAUGCUUCCAGGAAAAGCCUCUAAGCUUCAGAUUGUAAGGAAUCGUACCCCAAACCGACACAGGUGGUCGGGUAGAGAAUACCAAGGCGCUUGAGAGAACUCGGGUGAAG
rnacentral:rRNA from 1 species